GAGGGAAAAAAAUGAGCUCAGUUUUGGACAGAUUGAGUUUGAGGAAGUGGUGUGACAUCCAUAUUGAUAUGUCAGUGAAUAGAUUAGUGAUGCGUGAGGAGAUAGAAAGGGUGAGCUGAAGGGUGGGGAGAUAGGUUUGGGUGUCGUCAGCAUAGAGCUGGC